AAAUAGACAAUGUCAAAGUCUGAAAUCUGGGAGGAGAGAGUGUACAACUCUUGUUUUGUUGAUGUUUGUCUCCAUCUGUCAGUGACUUUUGGUUCUCAUCUUACUGUCCAUCCCAGUACAUACUUUCCUUUUAGUUUGACAGAUCAGACCCAUCAGUGACUGGCCGAUAUGCCAACUUCAGACUCCAGUCACACUUGGUGUCUCAUCAAAUUCUUAUCUCUAACUUUCUGUCUAUUUCUGAUCUAAUCAGUCUCAACAUUUGACUCCACUAGAAUGUAUGUUAAAAAUUUUCUCAUCUGGGUUCCACAAUGAUUAUGGGGUAUGCCUGACACUGGGACACCUCCAGACCCUGUGUGAGUUGGAAUGGCCCACAUUCAAUGUGGAAUGGCUAAGUGUGGUUCAGUGGACCCCCAUGCUGACCAGAGGGUCUGGAAUGUGGUAAUUUGUAGGCCUGGCCAUCCUGAUCAGUUCCCAUAUAUAGACCAAUGGCUUGGUUCUAAAUCCUCUGCUGUGGUGUAUUAAGGAAGUGACAUAGUUGGCCAAGAUUCUGGCUCUACAGGGUGGCAGGGUUCCCAGAAUUGCCAAAAGCAGGAUAAAAUGCAAGGCACAGAUUGACAACAGCCUCCAUGGCAUCUGUUGGCUCCUGUUCUGCCCCCUUCAGGUGAGGACAAUUUGCCACUCCCCAUAUAAUUCUCAUGGGCCCCAGACCCCUGCACAUUCCCAUGUGUCCUACCCUGGAUCUAUUAUAUCUCCUUCUUCUUCCUCUUUCAGAGUGUCCAUAACUCUCACUUCUCUCUUUGAGUCUAUUUUUCACAUUCAUCACCCCUCCUGGGAUGAUUGCCAACAACUUCCAAGGACUGUCCUAAAUUAAAGGCAAAAAAAGAGCAAGAUGGAGCCCAGCAACUCUUGUUAACUCUUUUCACCUCUGAUGAGCAAGGACCACAUUAGGACAGAGGCCAGCAAAGCUUUUCUUGAGGCUGCUCGUUGCACCGAAGCUGAGGUGACAACUGCUAGAGGAUGCCCUUCCUGAUACCAUCCAGAUUGGGACCCUAAUUCUGAUGUGGGCCAGGCACACUUGGAUGCCUAUCACCCACACCUAUUUGUAGGGCUAUGAGGGGCAGCUAAAAAAGCCCAUCAGUUUUUCUGAAACCACUGAGGUACUCCAGGGCCCCAAAGAGGCUCCAUGUUUGUUUUUUAAAAGUUUGAAAGAUACUUUCAGGACAUACACUCCCUUUGACCUGGAGGCACCAGAAAAUGCUCAGGCCAUAAAUUUGGCUUUUGUCUCUCAGUCAGCUCCAGAUAUUUGCAGAAAACUCCAAAAACUCAAAGGGUUUGCAGGCAUGAAUUCUUCCCAACUACUCAAGGUGGCCCAGAAGGUUUUAACAAUCAUGACAGUGCAGCUAAUAAAGCUGCAAAAUACCAGUUUAAAAUCUUGCUGUCCACUAUCCAAGAGUCCAGAAAAACCAGUUCAGAGUCAGAUCAAAGGAACAGAAAUCCAAAAGGAAAGAAAACACCAUUAGGCAAAGUUUGAUGUGACUGGUGUAAAGAACAUGAACAUUGGAAAAAGGACUGUCCUAAAUUAAAGGCAAAAAAAGAGCAAGAACAGAGCCCAGGUGGUUCUCACCAUGGCCUUCCCCUCUGAUUCAGAGGCUGAUGAAUGAAGGAGCCAGGGCUCAAUAUCUCUCAGCCUCCAUAAGCACAUCCAUGGUAAUUGCCAAGAUAGGGGUCCAAAUUCUUAAUCUUGUAGUUGAUAUUGGAGCAGGAUAUUCUGUCCUCACCUCUCCCAUAGACCCUAGGGAAAAAUCACCAUACAAUAGGAAAAGGCGCAAUAGGAAACAUCAAACAUUACCCAAUGACCACCAAAAGGACUGUACACCUAGGAACAAAGGCAGUGACACAUUCUUUUCUUGUUGUCCCUGACUGCUCAUUUAUCCUUUUAGGAUGUGAUCUGCUCUGAAAAUUGGGUGCUGUUAUCUCAUUUUCUCCUAUAGGCACAACUCUUUCUCUCAGACUAGCCUAGCAGCUCUUAGUGGCAAUACUGCUCAGUGAUGAAUAUAUGUUUAUUCCCCAACCUAAAGGAAACCACUCUCCCAAAGAAAUUGAACUAUUGAACUGCUGGAAACAAAAAUAUCUUGAUGUAUGGACUGAACAAGGACAUCCAGGCCUGGCUCAACACCACCCUCCAGUGGUUGUAAAAACUUUUAUCUUCGGCACAAAAGGUGAGAGUAAAAUGAGAUAUCCCAUGAGUUUCCAGGCUCGAAAAUGAAUUUCUCCUCACAUAUGCUGGCUCCUGGAGGCCAGAAUACUGACUUCCUGCAAGUCCGCCUGGAACACACUGUUCCUGUCUGUAAAGAAGCCAGGAGGAGGGGCUGGGGUUGUGGCUCAGCAGUAGAGCGCUUGCCCAGCACAUGAGAGGCCCUGGGUUUGAUCCUCGGCACCACAUAAAAAUAAAUGAAUAAAGAUAUUGUGUCCAACUAAAAAAUAAAUAUUUUCAAAAAAGAAGCCAGGAGGAAGUGAGUACUUACUGGUAUAGGACCUCCGAGAGGUAAGCAAGCGAGUUGAGACUAUUCAUCCUACUGUGGCCAACCUCUGUGUAAUUUUAAGCCUAUUAUCCCCCAGCACCUACUUUAUUCUGUUUUAGAUUUUAAGAAUGCCGUCUUCUCUAUACCUUUGGUGCCCAUCAGCCAACUUAUAUUUGCUUUUGAAUAGACAGACCCAGAAAUACAAGGCUCUACUCAACUAACGUGGACUCGCCUACCUCAAGAGUUCAAAACUUCACCCACCCAUUGGUGUGAGGUUCUACAAAAGGACUCACAAAGUUUCAGACUAACUCAUCCUGAACUAAUUUUGUUACAGUAUGUAGAUGAUUUGCUGCUGGCUGCAAAGGACUCUCUAGAGGGCACUGCAGAUUUCUUAAAAUACCUCCAAGACUGAGAGACUGGGUUUCUGCCAAGAAAGCCCAAUUAUGCCAUCCCUUAGUAACUUAUUUAUGUUACACAAUAAGAAAAAGGGCACAGACAGUUGUCAGGGGUCCUAAAACAAGCCAUUAUUCAGAUACUCAGUCCCACCACAAAAUGAUAGGUCUUGAAUUCCUGGGAGUGGCAGAAUACUGUAUGUUGUGGAUUGCCUCCUUCAUGGAAUUGGCAAAACCUUUGUUUGAAGCCACAGCAGGAACUGGUUCUAUAAAAUGGGAAAAGAACAGCAGGCUUUUGAGGCCAUCAAAGAAGUCCUAACAUAGGCCCCUGCCUUGGCCCUGCCCAAUGUCACCAAGCCCUUCAAUUUGUUUGUGGCACAACAUUGAAGAGUUGCCAAGGGGGUUCUCACCCAGGAUUUAGGACCUUGGAAAAGAUUCAAUUAGGGUGGCCAAAAGUUAACUUUGGGACAAUUUCUCAUGGCAACCACCUCACACUUUUUAGAGACCCUCCUAAAUAGUGAACCAGACAGAUGGAUAACUAAUAGUCAUAUUAUUCAAUACCAAAAUCUGUUGCUUGACCAUUCUUGACUCACCUUUGCCCUGGCAUGGGCUCUUAAUCCUGCAUCUCUGAUGCCAGAAGAUGACCCUUGUGAGCACAUUCAUAACUGUGAGGAAAUACUUGACCAGGUGAGUUCAGGAAGAGCUGACUUGACUGAUGUCCCUCUGACUCAGACUGAAGCCAUCCUGUUUGUGGAUAGUAAGCAGCCAGGUCAUAAAUGGGACUCAAAGGACUGGAGCCGUGGUCACAACAGAAAAAGAAGUUAUUUGGGUUUAAGUGCUGCCAGCAGGUACCUCUGCACAGAAAACAGAACUAAUUGCCCUGACACAGGCUUUGAGGUGGGCCAAAGGUAAGUAAAUCAACAUGUACAUGGACAGCCGGUAUGCUUUUGCUAUCUUACAUGUGCACAGAACCAUUUAUAAGGAGUGGGAUUACUAACUGCUGAGGGAAAGUCCAUAGAUAACAAAGAUGAGAUAUUAGCCCUACUUGAUGCAGUUUGGUUACUUAAACAGGUGGCCAUCAUGCACUGCCAGGAUCACUAAAAAGGAGAGUCUCCAGUCAUUUGGAGCAACAAUUUUGCAGAUGAGAUGGCUCACCAAGUGGCCCAAGAAUUCGAGCCAGCCACAAAGUUGGUCUGGCUUUAUACCCUAGGAUUAGCCUUCCUCCCUUUCACACUAUCACCCAAAAGAAGAGAAGACUAAAGAAAAGGAGGGACCAAAAUUAGAUAGCUGGUGGACUUUGCCUGUUUUCAGACUAAUAGUGUCCUGGACCCUAAGCAAAUCAUUAAUAUAAGAUUUGCAUGCCAUUACUCAUUGGGAAAAGAACAAAUUAACUGAUUUUCUGUCUAAAACCUACUACAUGCCAGGACUAAAACAAGCAGCUCAAGACAUCACUGUGCAAUGUACAGCCUGCCAACAAGAAAAUGUUAAACAAGAAAGGUGGACACGACCUGGGGCCAAAAACAGGGUAACUGACCUGGAGACCAUUGGGAAGUUGACUUCACUGAGGUAAAGCCUCCUUAUAAUGAUUAUAAAUAUCUCCUGGUUUUUAUAGAUACUUUCUCAGGUUGACCAGAAGCAUACCCUACUAAAAAUGAAACUGCUUGGACUGUCACAAAAUUUCUUCUUAAUGAAAUUGUACCUCACUAUGGACUGCCAGCUGUCAUAGAUAUAUGGACUGGCAUUUACUGUGGCCAUAGCACAGGGAAUAUCAAAGGCCUUAAAUAUAAACUGGAAACUUCAUGUGCUUACCACAAAGCUCAUGACAAGCCGAGCACAUGAACUAGAUCUUAAAGAGUACCCCCAGUAAAUUUGUUUUAGAAACCAGUGCUGAGUGGCCAACACUUUUUCCUAUUGCUCUAUUGUGGGCCUGAUGCACUCCUUAUAAAGAAAUUUGUCUCCUUUUGAGAUCAUAUAUAGGAGACCCCCCUCCCUUGCUUCCUCAGGUAACUGACAUUCAUUUGGCUGAGAUUAGCUGCCAGUCUCUCAUAAACUACCUUAAUUCUCUCCAACAGAUUCAAUUUGAAGCUCAUAAAUUCCUUCAAGAGAACCAGCCCUGAGAGACCACUGAUAUCCAACAUCUAUUCCAGCCAGGAGACUAUAUCUAUGUCAAACGGUUCCAGAAAGAAGGACAAAAGCCAAGAUGGAGGGGACUUUACUCAGUCAUCCUGACUCCCCAAUGGCCAUAAAGGUAGAGGGACUCACAGAAUGGAUUCAUCACAUCCGAGUCAAUACAGCAAAGGUGUCUCCUGCAGAAAAAUGGACAGUCCUCAGAGACCCCCACCACUCUCUAAAGAUAAAGCUAAAAAAAUGUUAAAAAUGUUUUUUCUCUUGCUCAGACUAUGUUAUGAGGUCUGAGCUGCCAAACCUCAUUGCCAUUGGAAUAUACCAUGGAAAGAGCUCAGGGACAGACCUGAGAUUUACUGAUUUUAUAUAUAUAUAUUUCCAGGCAACCUACCCCAGACAAUUGGAAACUCAAAUGUUUCAAUGACCCUUAUCACUAUUAUUGUCCCCAUUGGCUAUGUGUUACCAUAGCCACUUAUCCUGAGGGGACCUAAUGACACAACUUGGCUCCCAAUCUGGAAGGAAGAGGUCACUCUAAAGGUUAAGAUAAUGAAAUCCAUCCAUUACAAAAUCCAAACUGGGUAUACCUGGGGAAUCCAUUUUUACCAGAGGAGAUUUGACAGUGGAAAUACCCCCUGAGCCCUAGGACAGUGGGUCCUCUAGCAGAGUUAUAAGACACUUUUCUCUAGUCACAGCCAGAGAGCCCCAACCCUGGCAAAUCAUACUCAUUGGUUUCCAGCCAGUCAUCCUAGGAAACUCUGGGAGCCCAAUCUGUUCCCCACCCUGCAAUCGCCCACCAGGUCGUUAACUGUGAGGAAAUACUUGACCAGGUGAGCUGGUCUGGACUGGCAAAUGACUGUUGACUAUUUCUCAAGUCUAAAUCCCUUUACUAUAUAGGGUUGGGUUCCACUCUGGAGCCCCUACAGAGGCUAAUGUUUCUGUUUCUGUUAACCCAGGACCAAAAUUUACCCUAGGAGAUGAGUCAGGAAAUGCCACCUGCCUUGUCUUCCCUGGCAUUAAAAAUGUGCUAUCCAAUUUCCCCACUGAUGUUUGCUCUUAUAAUAUCACUGGAAACCCUACUUUGUGUCCUAUUUUUUCCCCCAAUGAGACCUGAUUUGCUUUGAUACUGGACUGGCCUGCUGUUUUCCCCCAGACCAUUCCCCAAGUAUUUGCAUUAUUAUACAUGUAUUGCCUCAGAUCUGUGCCUAUAGUGGGCCAGAGGGAACUCAUCUUCUUUCAACCAGAGAACUUCAAGGUGAAGGUCACUGAGUCAAAAGAGUAGCUUAUUUCCUCAUUCUAUCCCUAGUGGGAUUAAGCAUGGCAAGAUCCACUGGGAUGGGAACUGCAGCACUAAUAAAAGGACUCACCUCCCUAACCUGAGAUAAACGAAGACCUAGGUCAUUUAGAACAAGCUAUUGACCACCUAUAUGACCAAGUUCAAUCUCUGGCUGAAGAGGUACUUUAAAACAGCAGGGACUUAGAUGCCUUGUUCAUGUCACAAGGGAGGCUUUAUGUGGCCCUAGGAGAGGCCUGAUGCUUUUAUGCUAAUAAGUCUGGAAUCAUCAAAAGUUCCAUGGCCAAAGUAAGGGAAAACAUUCAAAGACAGAAUCAAGAGUUAGAAAAAAAAUGAGUCUUGGUUCAAAAGGUGGUUUGAAUGGAAUCCCUGGCUAACUAUCCUUCUCACUGGCCUAACUGGAUCCAUAGCCCUAAUGUUUAUAGGAUUAUUUAUUGGCCCCUGGAUUUUAAAGUGGCUUGUCAAAUUCAUUAAAUAACACUUUUUUUUUCAGUCAAGUUAAUAUAUACUCAUGGCCAUUACAACCCUCUACCUAACUUAGAAGGUGAAUCAAGGGUUUGUAUAAGAAGAGCCCCCUCCCAUUCAAAAGCCCACAUCUGCAUCUCCCAAAGCCUGCUUCUCAUGCUUAGUACAUCUUGUUUGGCAACACAUAACAUGAAACAAAAAAAAGAAAAAAUAUUAUCUUUAAUUCCUGUGCAAUGUACCUUUACUCAGAUUGCUUUGACUUACUUUGCUUGUUGUUUUGGGCUAUAAAAGGAAUGCUCUAGACCCUGGUGGGGGUCACAGGGUGCAGAGACAAUUUGGUCUCUACACUUUGGCCACUGGCAAAUAAAGGUCCUUGUUCUGCU
rnacentral:lncRNA from 1 species